rnacentral:piRNA from 1 species
UGAUUGCUGUAGGAGAUCUAGACUGGGGA